rnacentral:lncRNA from 1 species
AUAAUCAAAGGGUACAACGUGACUGUUUAUUAAACUAAGGAGUUUAUGUGAUCACUUAAACAAACUUUAGGAGGUGUGAGUGUCUUUUUCCUAUUGUCUAAACUUUUUUUCUUAGAUUUAAGUAUUUUUAAAAAUGAAUUGAAUCUUAUUAAAAUUAUUUUUCGAGAGUGGGGUGAAUUUAAAGAAAUAAUGCGAGGUGAUAUCCCAUCCCAAAUCAAAUUGAAAGCACCUUUAAUUCCUGUAAGUCUUUAUCUAAUUUAAAACUUAAUAGAAAUUGAUUUUAAAAUUUAGAAGCAUUAUUUCAUUUUUGAAAGAAUAAAGAAAUAGAAACGAAAGACAAUCGUAUCCUAGUACUACUACAACUCCAGGAAAGUAGAUUAUAUAUAAUAUUUCUAGCCUGUUUCCUCUCCAUGAUUCGGUCAGGCAUUAAAGAUUAAAGAAUGGAAGGAAAAGAACACGCUCAGACUCCAAGAUUGCCAUCAAAUAGUUCUGAUCUGAUAGAUGAUCUCCUAAUUUCAAUCUUAGCCCGAUUGUCACCCCUCGAAAUUAUCUGUACAAGCAUGGUUUGUUCUUCCUGGAAUAGGAUUGUCAGAUCUUCAUCCCAUUCCCGCCGGGCUGAGGCUCCUUGGCUCGUAUUGCCUUCUGAAACUGAAGAAGGUGAAGAUGUCGAUGGUUGCCACUUUUUCAAUGUCGAAGAGCCCAGAGAGAAAACCAAAAUCUAUAAACUGAAGAAACAGAGUAUACAAGAAUUUCGGAAAGUGGCGGUGCAUCGGAUCAUCCCAUGGAUGGCUCAUUCUCUUAGAUCAUGAAAGAUCCUGUCCUCCUCUUUUGAAUCCCUCUCAAGUACCCGGAUUCUCCUUCCUCCUCCGGAAACGAUUCUGGAUAUUGUGCGUUAUUUGGAUGGAGAAGGUUAUACGUCUUGGAUCGUUCCAAUUCUUAGCGUUUUAUCUCAAUCAAGGAAUUAAGAGAUGGUUUCUUCCAUAAGGCUAUCCUGUCGCCAAAUCCGUAUUUGCAGAAGAAAUAUAGUGCGAUUGUAAUUUACAACAAUAAAUCCAAAACUUUCUUUCUGGAAGCAUGGAGAAGUUGCGUGGCACAGCUUCAAUGGAGCUAGCCAAAGCGGUUACAGUGAUGUUGUAUGCACUGCUGAUAAUCGCGUUUAUGCACUAUCAACAUUCGCCAACAAUUAUACUGAAUGUACAGUUGAAGCAUGGGAUUUUAAGCAACAUGUUCCUGUAAUGCUUAUGCAAGUCACAGCUCCCUUACCGGGGCAACUGGAGGAUAUUUCUACUCCUGUGGUCGUAAACUCGUACGUGGUGGAAUCUUUGGCCAGUAUCUUG